rnacentral:rRNA from 1 species
CUCUCUAGUGACCGAUAGUGAACCAGUACCGUGAGGGAAAGGUGAAAAGUACCCCGGAAGGGGAGUGAAAGAGAACUUGAAACCGUGUGCUUACAAGUAGUCAGAGCCCGUUAAUGGGUGAUGGCGUGCCUUUUGUAGAAUGAACCGGCGAGUUACGAUCUGAUGCAAGGUUAAGCAGAAAAUGUGGAGCCGUAGCGAAAGCGAGUCUGAAUAGGGCGAAUGAGUAUUUGGUCGUAGACCCGAAACCAGGUGAUCUACCCUUGGUCAGGUUGAAGUUCAGGUAACACUGAAUGGAGGACCGAACCGACUUACGUUGAAAAGUGAGCGGAUGAACUGAGGGUAGCGGAGAAAUUCCAAUCGAACUUGGAGAUAGCUGGUUCUCUCCGAAAUAGCUUUAGGGCUAGCCUCAAGUGAUGAUUAUUGGAGGUAGAGCACUGUUUGGACGAGGGGCCCCUCUCGGGUUACCGAAUUCAGACAAACUCCGAAUGCCAAAUAAUUUAACUUGGGAGUCAGAAUGUGGGUGAUAAGGUCCAUAUUCGAAAGGGAAACAGCCCAGACCACCAGCUAAGGUCCCAAAAUAUAUGUUAAGUGGAAAAGGAUGUGGCGUUGCCCAGACAACUAGGAUGUUGGCUUAGAAGCAGCCAUCAUUUAAAGAGUGCGUAAUAGCUCACUAGUCGAGUGACACUGCGCCGAAAAUGUACCGGGGCUAAACAUAU